rnacentral:lncRNA from 1 species
CAUAAAAUAUAAAUGAAUUUUAUUUAUGAAUGUAUAGAUGUACAGCAAAUAGGAAAGAUAAUACAUUAAAAGAACAUAUACUAUAACCAGGUAGAGUUUUAUCUCAGGAAUUUAAGGAUGUUUUAAUAUUACAAAAACCCUUAUUAUAAUCAUAUUAGGCAAUUUAAGUGAUAAAAAUUUGAUUGUAUCAAAAGACACCAAUUCCUUUUAUCAAGCUUUUAGCUUCCAACAAACAAGAAUAGAAGAUGUUAUUUCUGUUAUCCUAACAAAGAACAUUUGUUUAAAACCAACAAUUAACUUCAUAUGUAAUGAAAAAAUAUCAAAAAAACUUAUUACAAUUUUAUGAAACACAAAAACAAAAUAGAAAUACCUAUGAUUUUAUAUUUAGAAAGAGCAAACAGGCCAUCUAAAACUGUUAGAACAAAGAAAAUCACCAAAAGAUACAUAUUUUAAAAGUUAAUAGCUUUCUAAUAAUAGAGAUUCCCAUGCUGACAGCAACAUAGAUAUAAAACAGCCAAGAAAGAAUUAAUUAAGGUAUAUAUAAAACCUAGACAAAAAGAAGAACCAAGUAUAAUGAAAAAAAUCAAGAAACAUGACAAUAAUGGAGACUAAAUCCCUCGAUGGAAAGAAUUAUAAUCAUAAAUGUAAGCCUUAAAGAGUUAACUUUAGAUGUAGACAAGUCAAACUGAAGCACUAAAAACAUGUUGACCUUAUAUAACACAUUCCUUAGGGGGAAAAAAAGAUUUUUUAAUAUUGGAAAAAAUAUGGUUAGGCAUAGUGGCUCAUGCCUGUAAUCCCAGCACAUUCAGAGGCCAAGGCGGGAGGACUGCUUGAGCUUAGGAGUUCAAGACCAGCCUGGGCAACAUAGUGAGACCUUGUCUCUACUAAAAACCUAAAAAGAUUAGCUGAGUAUGGUGGCAUGCACCUAUAGUCCCGGCUACUAGGGAAGCUGAGGCAAGAGGAUGGCUUGAGCCUGAGAAAUCAAGGCUGCAGGGAGCUGUAAUUGUGCCCUGCACUCCAGCCUGGGCAACAGAGUGAGACCCUGUCUCAAAAAAACGUCGGAGAAGGAGGAAAAACAAUGAAGACCAAUAUGCUACUGAUUCACAUGGAUUCAAAUACAAAGUAUAAUCCAUUAUAUGGCAAAAAAUAUGUCUUCACUACCAAGUUUUACAAAUACCACCCUACAUGAUGAGGACCAAGGAAGGUUUCAGCAGGAAAAAAGCCAUAUGAUUAGCUUUGUUUUCAAAAUGUCAGGCAGCCAGAUGGAAGGCAGGAGAAGUGAAGAGUGGUAAGGAGACCAGUGAAAUCCACAAACGCUUAUUCUAUUAAAGAUUAAAACAGGGCUACCAUCACUGCAGUGGGAACAGGGCACCUUUUACCAAAAACUCCCAUAACAGAUGACUUGAAAACCACUGAGUUUAUGCAUCUGUAGGAUAUAUGCAGGAAGAUGAUGAGGGUUUGAAACAAGGCAGUAUGUACAGGGUGGAAAGAAAGGGGCAGAGAAGGAUAAAUAUUUGAAAGGUUUUUGAGGGGAAGAAACUCUCCAACACUGGGUAACCAAUUUGACAAAGGGAACAAGGAGAAAAAAAAGUAUAGGACAAUUUACAGCUUUUUGUCUAUGUCAUUAGGUAGAUAGUGGUGACAUUCAAAAAUAAGGAAAUAAAAGCAGGAACAAGACUAAAGGAAAAUUCAUAAUUCAAUUUAGAAUACAUUGAAUUUGUAGAGUCUACAGACAUGCGACUUGACAUCAAAAACCCCGAUAAAUUACCAAAGAAAACUCUUUUCCAACUAUAAUGCGAUAACUUUCUAACAGCUUAAUCAUGAGUGAAAAUCAGAGAAAGGCAUGGUUAUAUAAAAUAUUUUACAGAAUGAAUACCAACAAAACUAAGAUUAAAGUAGACUAUUAUAGAAUUGAAUAAAAUACUGCAACAAAGAUGACAGAGGACCAAUAACAUCACAUAUAAAAGCAUAAUGAUAAGAUAUAAAAACAGAACAUAAACAAGUAAAGGUCCAGCAAGUCUCUCAAUGUAAAGGAAAUGCAUUUAUACCCUACACUGUUUCCAUUAAAGAUUUAAGAUAGCUUACUACAAAAAUAUACAUAGUAAAAUGGUAAGUGUAAAUAAUAGUAAUAAUUAAAUGUAAAAAUUUUUUUAAUUAUCACCAGGAGAAAUCUGGACUAGAAAAAAAGAAACAAAAUAUGCAGAGCAUAAGGGCUUUCAGAAAUAUCGUUGACAAUGAAAGUAAAAAGCUCAACACAAGUGGCAUGACUCUUAUUAUCCAUUAGGAGAAAACACAGCCAUUUCUCACUUUAAAAAGGACAUUUUUGCUUUUUCCCUCAAUUGAAAAGAUAGCAUUUCAUGAUAAAAAUUUCUCUACAUUAAUUUAGCUUUAUGAAAACUUAUUACAUUGUCUCUGUUUCUCAAAUGUUAUGUUACUGCAGGACAGUUGAAUUUAAAAACAACAACAACACUUUACACAGUGACAUUUGAGGAUGACUACAAUAAACAGAACAAAAAAAUUAAUUGCAUAAAGCUGCUUCUUGUGGUACCCCUUGAUGAAAAUAAACCACAAAAUACUGAAAUGUAACUCAAUGAACACAGCUGGGUAGGUGGAGAGCAGGGAGGAAGGGAGAAGGGAGAAAGGGGAAAGGGAACAUGAAGUGGGUGAGGUAUACAGACUUCUGAUGGUCCUUUCAUGAAAAUUUGAGGCCUCGUUAAAGGCUGUCCCACAUCAGCAUAGAUGAGGGCCCCAUUAAUAAAAGGCCAAAUAUAAAAUGAAAAAAUAAGAACAAUCAGAAAGCAGACACCAGAAAACUAUUCACUCAUACAUAUAUUUUUAAAAAUGCAAAUGACAGUAUCCUUUAGCAUCUAUAAGCUAAGCAAAAG